GCCUGGGUGGCUCAGUCGGUUAAGCUUCUGACUUUGGCUCAGGUCAUGAUCUCACAGUUUGUGGGUUCGAGCCCCACAUCAGGCU
rfam:Felis catus isolate Cinnamon breed Abyssinian chromosome A2, whole genome shotgun sequence.